GAAAGCAGAGAAGGAAAUAAAAACCAGAGGGGAAAUGAUCAAAAAGUGUAGAUUAGGGGAAGAAUUCGAAAAAAAAGACCGUUUUUCCUCUGGCAAAAUUGAAGAAUGAAAAAUUCAAAAUAAUGACCGUUGUUUUUUUCCUCUGGAGAAAUGUCCAAUUCUUGAAGUCUGGCAGUCUUGUUCUCUCUAUAUAUAUACUGUAUAUAUUUCAAUUAUUCAAUCACGAUUCACAGACAAAGAACACGCACUUUCACACACAGUAGGUCUUCCAUUUUAUUUUGUUUUCCGAAAAUUUUAAUUCAAUUUGGGCCCAUUUUGAAUGCUUUUUUAAAAAAAAAAAUCAUGAUUUUUUCUGGUCUUCUUCAUUUUCUGAAUUCUUAUUCUUUGAUUUAAUUAAUUCAAAACUGUGUGUUAGUGUGUGUUUGGUGUCUGAGAGAAAGGGAGGAAAGAGCAGAGAAAAUAAAUUUGAGGGGUUUUGAUGAAGAUUCUGGCCUUCUGCUAUACAUGGAAACCAGGCUUCUGAAAAAGAUUGUGGCUUUUUCUCUAACCAAAAAAUUCAGGCACAACUACGAUUCUGAGCUACCAGUGCAAACCCCGGCAACGGCUGGAGUAGCCAAUGGAGGAGAGAAUCAGGAAUUGGAGAGAGAACCAUCUCUACAAUUUGAUUUGAGGCCACUUUAUGACGUUAAUUAGUAUUUCUGUGUACCAAAAAGACUGAAGUUUCUUUGACCUACAUUGGAUUUUUUUCCCUUUUGUGUAUUGUUUUGUGAACUGAAAAUUGUGCAAGUGUUGGUCAAAGAUACCCUAUAAUCUUUGAUUUUGCCUUGUAUUUAAUGCUUGUCUUGCCAGUUAUAUCAUUUGCUAACUUAAGCGAUGGAAAUUUCCUGGACUUUGAAUGGAUAUUUUGGUAUAAACUUGGCUGGAAAUGUUGGAUAUGCACUUGUCUGUGUAUUAUGAGCUUGUUUGUGUGUGAUUUAUGAUUGAAAGUGAGUAAACACUUGCU